UACGUAGGGGGCAAGCGUUAUCCGGAUCUACUGGGUGUAAAGGGAGCGUAGACGGAAUUGCAAGUCUGAUGUGAAAAUCCGGGGCCCAACCCCGGAACUGCAUUGGAAACUGUAUUUCUAGAGUGUCGGAGAGGCAAGUGGAAUUCCUGGUGUAGCGGUGAAAUGCGUAGAUAUCAGGAGGAACACCAGUGGCGAAGGCGGCUUGCUGGACGAUGACUGACGUUGAGGCUCGAAAGCGUGGGGAGCAAACAGG
rnacentral:rRNA from 1 species